AAGUCGUAACAAGGUCUCCGUUGGUGAACCUGCGGAAGGAUCAUUAUCGAGUUUUGAACGGGUUGUAGCUGGCCUUUAACGAGGCAUGUGCACACCUGGCUCAUCCACUCUCAACCUCUGUGCACUUUAUGUAAGAAACGGUGUAAGCCAGCUAUUUAAUAGUUGGUAACAAGCCUUUCUUAUGUUUACUACAAACGCUUCAGUUAUAGAAUGUUUACUGUGUAUAACACAAUUAUAUACAACUUUCAGCAACGGAUCUCUUGGCUCUC
rnacentral:misc_RNA from 1 species